AACGCACCUUGCGCUCCUUGGUAUUCCGAGGAGCAUGCCUGUUUGAGUGUCAUUAAAUUCUCAACUUCGAAGCCUUGUUGUAACGACUCGGCUUUGGGGCUUGGAUUUGGAGUGUGCGGGUUCCUCUUCUGGAAUCGGCUCCUCUUGAAAUGCAUUAGCUGGAACCUCUUCGUGGACCAGCCAUCGGUGUGAUAAUUAUCUACGUCGUUGGUCGUGUCUGCGCUUCGUAAUUGGGGUUCUGCUUCUUAACCGUCUUCGGACAAUCGUCUUCCGCAAGGGAGAUUGACCAUUUGACCUCAAAUCAGGUAGGACUACCCGCUGAACUUAA
rnacentral:misc_RNA from 1 species